AUUGAACGCUGGCGGCAUGCUUUACACAUGCAAGUCGAACGGCAGCGCGGGCUUCGGCCUGGCGGCGAGUGGCGAACGGGUGAGUAAUACAUCGGAACGUGCUCAGUAGUGGGGGAUAGCUCGGCGAAAGCCGGAUUAAUACCGCAUACGACCUGAGGGUGAAAGCGGGGGAUCUUCGGACCUCGCGCUAUUGGAGCGGCCGAUGGCAGAUUAGCUAGUUGGUGGGGUAAAGGCCUACCAAGGCGACGAUCUGUAGCUGGUCUGAGAGGACGACCAGCCACACUGGGACUGAGACACGGCCCAGACUCCUACGGGAGGCAGCAGUGGGGAAUUUUGGACAAUGGGCGAAAGCCUGAUCCAGCAAUGCCGCGUGUGUGAUGAAGGCCUUCGGGUUGUAAAGCACUUUUGGCGGGAACGAAAAGGACUGUGCCAAUACCACGGUUCGAUGACGGUACCCGCAGAAUAAGCACCGGCUAACUACGUG
rnacentral:rRNA from 1 species